UUUCUAUGCAGAAACUUUUGAGGACUCAUAUAUAUGCUGCCUGAUAAAAGAGAAGAACAUUUUGUUUGACCCGUCAAAUUACGAAUACUCAGCAAAUUAUGACCGAGAGGGACUGAGCCUCUAAACCUACCCAUGAUGCUUUUCGGUAAAUAUUGUUCCCCUCUGCCAUCUUGUUUUACGUGAAGCACGGCAUCUACCGGAUAAGGAUUCUGUUUUAAAGGAGUCAAUCGGUGGACAUUAGACAAUGUUUCUUCAACGAGCUUGUAAUACAAUGAGGAUUGGCUUACUAAGAAGAGCCAUGAGUACUGGGAGAAGGCCAGAAACUCCCGAAAGACUGACUCCUGUUCAACAUGUUGCAGCCUUUUCUGCCUUUUGCUUUGGAAUCCUGGGCCCUGGAAUUUAUCUGAUGCUUACACGUGACAAACCACUCAGCGAACAUUGACGAGGGAUUGGUGCCACGAUACCAUUUAUUUCAAAGACCAGCUACUUUUGUUUACAUUUAUGUUGACUACUAAAUUGUGGAAGUGUGACUAACUAGAAAGAAUUUGUAAAGAACUUUUGAUGAACUGUUAUGGUGUAUGGCUUUUUUAGGAAUUUUGCACUGAGUUUUAUUGUCACCUUGGUGUAUAAUGAAACUCACAGUAAAUUGUUGAGGAUGAUUUGACUGUUUUUCUGUAAUGUAUCUGAGUAAUCACAGAGUACAGUAAACUGUUUAAAAUCUUGUUAA